AUGGAAAGAUACUUCACACCUGUGCGUGGCUCCUCAGAGGAUGAGGUGAAAAUUUACAAACAUUACCGUCCCAUACCUCAACAGCAUCCUCACAACCAUUAUCACCACCAUGGCUCACACAGUCAAAGCUCUUCAAGCGGUCAUGGAAAACACAGUGAUAAACAUACUUACCAUCACCACGACAACCAGCAUCACUUUUAUCAUCCCGCAAACCCUAAAAUGUCUGGAGACCAUCACAGCUUCUCUAAAAGGUCUUCCUCCAGCCUGUCCUCUUCCACUUCUUCAUCUGCAUCUUGGACCUCAGAGCCCAGUCUGGAUGAUGAGACGUAUCUCAUGCACAAACCCCAGCAUUCCCUGUCCUGCUCCAACAUCCCUGAGGUUCGAAGGAAAAGCCACAGAGAUCACAGAGAUCAGAGGCACCGCCACAGCCUAGAAAAUGUCGUCGAACUGCUGCCUGGUUCACAGCAUGAACAUCAGAUGCCAAAACUCUCCCGGGGCCACAGCAAAAGCGAGGAGGCCCUUCAACAAAACAAGCACAAACAUGAUUACUCAGAAGGAUCUCACUCCAUGCAUCAUGGGCCACUUUACAAGACUGCAAGCCUGGGACAAAGCCUUGCCUUUGGUGGCAACACUCUAGGUGGCAGGGUGGUUCCCAAGAAGGCUGUUUCAACCUUUCAGCUACCCAGCAAAGGUAUUCUGAAAAACAAAUAUGAUGGACAGAAAGAAGGAAACUUCAGGAAAGCGAAGUCUAUGGAGGUGCUCUCCACCAGGGUGCACAUCACAGGAACAUCCAAGCAGAUCUCUACGGAAGCUGCAAAGGAUAACUUUAUGAAAGGGAAGCUACAGUUCUCUGCAUUUCUGGACGAGAUCACCAAGCAGGUUAUCAGUCCCUGUGCUCUUAGCUCUUUUGGUGUAAACACAUCAACGCCACCAAAAUCACCCAGUGAAGAGCGCAAGAACCGCAGCAGCAAGCAGGAGAGCUUUGUGCCAUCACCAAAACAGCAGCCCAUCAGAACCGAGAGACGUGAUUCAGAAAAAAACGAUUCAAGCUCACUUUCUCGAUCACAUAAGAGACCGAGCAAAUACCACAACCGAAACCUGACCAGUCCUCCACCCACGCCCCACCACCCUUCCAAAGCUGAAAGACAAGGGGCUGCUUCAGGUAAACAGCACCACAGGCAAUAUUCUCAGAUGCUCACUGAUGGUACCAGCACCAGCCCAGAAACUGUCCACACCAACCUCUCUAAACACAAAGAGCGACAUCAAAGUAGUCAUGGCCCUUUCAGACACAUUCAUACCAAGCAGGAGAAGGGUUCACCGCCACAUUUGCGAGCCGCAGGGCUGGAAUCAGAGUCUCAGUCGAGUAAAUCAUCCACCAGUGGUAGUUCAGAGAAAAGUGACAGACCCAAACACAUGGGACACAGGAGGCAGUCCAAACCACACAGGGUGAGUUCAUCACAAGACCAAAAAAGCCUGUUUAUCAUAAUGUUUGGUGCAAAAUAGGGCUAGAACCUUAAAAUAUUAAAUGUACUGUUUUGUAUUCCAAUCGUUUUAUAGGAGGUUUGGAAUUAUUGCAACCCUGUUACCCAAAUUUGAGAUGUGCGAUGGAUUUGUAUCACUUGUGAAAUUGAUAGAUUUUUUACAAUAAACACCAGUCAAAGUCCA
ensembl:lncRNA